rnacentral:rRNA from 1 species
AUUACCGAGUUUACAACUCCCAAACCCCUGUGAACAUACCAAUUGUUGCCUCGGCGGAUCAGCCCGCUCCCGGUAAAACGGGACGGCCCGCCAGAGGACCCCUAAACUCUGUUUCUAUAUGUAACUUCUGAGUAAAACCAUAAAUAAAUCAAAACUUUCAACAACGGAUCUCUUGGUUCUGGCAUCGAUGAAGAACGCAGCAAAAUGCGAUAAGUAAUGUGAAUUGCAGAAUUCAGUGAAUCAUCGAAUCUUUGAACGCACAUUGCGCCCGCCAGUAUUCUGGCGGGCAUGCCUGUUCGAGCGUCAUUUCAACCCUCAAGCCCAGCUUGGUGUUGGGACUCGCGAGUCAAAUCGCGUUCCCCAAAUUGAUUGGCGGUCACGUCGAGCUUCCAUAGCGUAGUAGUAAAACCCUCGUUACUGGUAAUCGUCGCGGCCACGCCGUUAAACCCCAACUUCUGAAUGUUGACCUCGGAUCAGGUAGGAAUACCCGCUG